AGCAAAGUGAACAACAAGCGGCCGCAAAAAGUGCAGCAAAAGCAAGGAUGGAGGCCCUUAAAUCAUGUUGCAUACAACUAGGCGCAGUGCAAUGCACCCACACUCAAGCAGCCGGCCACAAGGACUCACCCACACAUCCACACACCCACCCACACGCUCUCAACCUGUGUCACUCGAGUGUGAAUAUCCGCACUCGUUCAUCACCCAUUCCACAUGGGAAAAUGGAACCCCAGAUCCGGACCCAAACCACUCGUUAGAAAGCCAUCGUUAAUGGAGCUCCCAUCGCCGCCGGCUGGCCAACACUUUGUGUGUGUCCUUUGUCCUGUGUCCCCGUCACAAUUCCACACACAGGAUACAGAUUCCAGGAUCCAGAAUCCAGAGUCCUGUGUCCAGCUGCCCGGGCCUCGGCCACCGCAAGCUGGACACCCGCUGCGAUUUGAUUGCGAAUUUUUCUGACAUUUUUGCACAUUUUUGCCGUAGCCACCGAGUUUUCUUUCAGCUUUUUUCAUCGCUGGGAUUUUUCCUGCCUU
ensembl:ncRNA lncRNA:CR45826 long non-coding RNA:CR45826